rnacentral:sRNA from 1 species
GCUGGGUGUGGUGGUGUGCACCUGUAAUCCCAGCUACUCAGGAGGCUGAGGCAGGAGAAUCACUUGUACCCAGGAGGUGGAGGUUGCAGUGAGCCGAGAUGACGCCACUGCACUCCAGCCUGGGCAACAGAGUGAGACUCUAUCUCAA